UACUCAGACCAGGACCCAAAAGCAAUUGACU
rnacentral:piRNA from 1 species